GCACAGGCAGGGAGCUGUGUAGUGUCUUGCUUUCACCCUACCCUCAAAAGCCUGAAGCAAUGACAAAGGCUGUUCAAAGUGCUGAGGAACCAAGGAAAUGUACAUAUUUGGCUUAAUUCAUAAAACUGUCAUUGAAGGCCAGCUAAGAAGACGAAGAUUUUUGUCCAGGAUCUGCAGCUGUGAGACCACAGAAAGUUUGUUGACUCAUGACCUAGAUGACUGCAAGAGCCUACAAUGAAGUCCCUCUGCAAACAGAAGCAAAAGGCACAGUCUGCUCCUCCUAAAGCAAGUCCACAUCUCUACUCCAGAAAAGAGCAAACUAUUUACAACUAUUUAAAUACAGCCUUUUCAUCUUAAAAAUUACAUUAAGUUUCUGGAAUUCUGAUAUACCCAAUUCCAAGUAAGCAUGCUUUGAGCUGAAUUGAGCCUUUAGGAGUUGGAAUAUUUGGGACCUAGUCCCCAACCAAGUCUUCAGGACUUCUCAAAUAAUUAAUUCAGGCCAUACAAGAGAUUUGGUGAAUGAUACAGAGCAGUAGAAGUCCCAUAAAUGGGGGAAAGAGAAGACAUAGGGGUUACAGGAGAGGAGAGAAGGGUAUUGUUAGGGAAGUACAUGAAGUCAUAAAGUAGCACUUACUGAAGACCUGGGAUUUUCUAAUUAAGCCCAAGCAAUUCUCCUGAAUUCAGUUCAAUUUAUGGGUUCGUAUGCUAAAGAAAAAAAAUAUCAAUUCAUCUUGAUACUAUUUUGAUCAUUAUUUCCACAGGAAAGAUUUCCAACAUUCUUAUUCAGUUCUGGAGGCUGGCAAGUUCAAGAUCAAGGUGCCAGAAGAUUUGGUGUUUGGUGAGAACCCACUUUCUGGUUCCUAGAAAUAACAAUUUCUCCCUGAGUCCUCACAUAGUAGUGGGGAUGAAGAAGUUCUUUGGGAUCUCUUUUAUAAGGGCACUAAUCCCUUUUAUAAGGGCUCCACCUUAAUGAUCUAGUCACUUCCCAGACGCCCCACUUCCAAAUACCAUCACAUUGGGGAUUAGGUUUCAACAUACAAAUUUUAGGAGGACACAGACAUUCAGACUGUAGCAAUCCCUUGUGCCCAUUUGUUUUUCCUUUAGGAUGGUCAUUUUCUGCUGCUAUGGCCCAGUUUGUGCCUUCAAGGACUGACUGUGUAAAAAAGAGCCCAGAAACUCUUUGAACUGACUUACAGUAGCUUCUUCAGCAGUCAGCUGUAACGAUGGCUGGAGCACCUGGUACCUGAGUGAGGGCCAAGAAUGGGCUCUGCAUGUGCCCUCCCUCAACAAUUGCCCACCACCCAUUCUCACACAAAUGCAGUGGGGGAUGAACCUGUAGGGAUGGGUAAUCAGCCUGAAAGGAACAAUUUUGCAUAUGUGUAAAAUCUGAAAAAAUAAAUUAUUAUUCAUGGGAAACAUGCCACUAAUAUGAUAGAGAAGAAAAAGUUUGAUAUUUGGUGUCUGAACAUUUGGGUGUUUCCAGACCUAUCUCUGCCAUUUACUCUAUGAUUAAGACUUCACGACAUAAGUUUUCUGAGUCUCAUCUUCCCACCUCUUAAAGGUGCCUAAUGACAAUACCUGAAACCACUUUGCCAUAAAACAUUUACUGCAUAUUGUCAAUGCAUACUAGGUAUGAUACUAGGCACCAGCAAUAUAAAAACAAAUGAAAUGUGGCACCUGCUCUCAAGACUUGAAAGAAGCUAUAAUGUAAAGCAUCGAACUACAGGAGAAAAGUGGGAAUCUUUCCUUUUUCACAUCCAUAGUCACUAAGGCCAUUUGUCGACUGAGCAAAUGUAUAGUACAGAAAGCUGUUAGACUAAUAUCUAGUGAUUAAACUGUACUUAAGGGAGAGAAUGGCCUUUAAGUAGCAAAAAUCUCUCAUGGGUUAUUUUGUUAUUUAAAAGUGGCACUGGCGAGGGCUAGGAUAAAACAGUUAAACAGUUUUACCCAGGAAAUAAACCACAAUAUUGGAGAAGGAGGUUUAAAGUACUAGAAAAGAGAGAAGGAGGAAGAGAAAUAGUAAGAAUGCAGGCUGAGCUGAAAUAAUUUCCAUGAUCAGCUGUAAAGUUGCACACUUUUACAUGCAUACUCUGAUGUUGGAUUGUCAGUAAAAGUCUGCUAUCCACAAUUAUUAUCUUUGAGUUUGGGGAAAAUAAAUUAAAAGGAAAUGUUUGCCAAUCAUUGAUGAAUGGCAGUGGGAGAAGUGAAGAGAUGGAGAAUAAGAGAGACCUGAACCAGGGCCGGAAUCCCUGGAGUCCUCAUAGAACAUUAUAGGACAUUGAGAUCCCACCAUCUGUAGAAUAGGGUUUUAAGCCAAUGUAUACCUUAAUUGUGAUAAACAAGGGGAUCCCUGCAAGCUGAAGAUCCAGGGAACAGGUGGAGACAGACACAGAAGAAAUGAGGAAAUUAAUGAAUAAAAAGUCAAGAGCAUGAGAGGAAGGUAGACAUGACUUUGAAGGAAAGUCAGGCAAGAAUGUAUGGUUAUACUCUGUUGUCAGCAGGGAAUUACUUUAUAAAGUAGAAAGAGAAGCCCAAAGAGCAUCUUUUCCCCAGGGUAUAGUCAAGAGAAGAGAAGAGAUGGAAAGCCAUUUGGAAAAAGUGAUGGGGAAUUCAGGCAUCGGGUCAACACCAAGGUAAGUGGGAAGAACUCAGUGGGCCUGGCAUUGCUGGCAUAAAGAGAAGGUCCCUGAGGGCAGAAGGACACCUUCCAGACAGACCUGCUGUUUCUCCAAAGGGGUGCUUGCUUCACAUCCUUAUAUAUUUUUUUCCAGUCUUUACCUGAUGCCUGAGACCUGGCCCUUCUAAUUCUUUACACUGAAAGACCAGAAAAUUUUUUAAAAGAGAAAAAGAAAGAAAGAUAAAGAAAAAAGAAAGAAAGACAAGCAUAGCAUUUAUAGAAACAUGAGAACUUCUGCAGGGGUGCAGACCCAUCUUUGAAAAUGAUUCUUUGGAAGAGGCCUUUAGUGCCAAAUACUUGAGUUGCUGCCAGUCUGUUAUGACUCCUUCUUUAUCAUUUCCCCUCACAUGAGGCAGAUCGAGACAGAUCCACAUUCCUUCCCCUGUGUUUGGGGCCCACUCUCAGUCAUUGUCAGCUGCUGGUUUGCUGAGGUUCUUGGGGUUGAAAAAAUCCACCUGGUGGCUCCAUCUCUGUUUGCUGCAACAUUUAUGUAGAUGGGGUGUCAUCUGGGAGUCAUGGCAGCAGAGACACAACAAACAAAAGCAACCCACUGGCUUCCAGGGUGAACAGCAAAUUCCUCUUUAGCUCCCUAGAAUGUUUAUGGAGUAGCUGAGUAGCCACACAUCCUUGAUCCUCCAAAGCCAGAUAGUGGGCAGCUGUUGCAAAUUCUUUCUGAAGAGCUUAUACAUAAAAUAAUUCUUGCUGAACUUAACCAUAUCACCAUGAAAAAGGACAUUAAUCUCAUUUAUGAGGGCUCCACCUUAAUGAUCUAAUCGCCUCCCAGAAGCCCCACUUCCAAAUACCAUCACACUGGGGAUUAGCUUUCAACAUAUCAACUUUAGGGGGACACAAACAUUCAGAGUGUAGCAAUCCCUGUGCCCACUUUUUUUCCUCUAGGAUGGUCAUAUCACCAAAUGGUCUUCUGCUGCCAUUUGGUGAUAACUGUCCCUCUAUGUUCUCUCUUCCUUCCUUUCCUCCUUUCUCCUUUCUUCUUUCCUUCCUUCCUUCUUCCUUUCUCCUUUCUUCUUUCCUUCCUUCCUUCUUCCUUCCUUCCUAUGAAUUGAGCAACUAGUAGAUGCUAGGUCCUAUGAUUAGAAAUGAGAAUGUUACCAAGAACAAGGACAUUAUCUUUAUCCUCAUGGAACUCAGAGUUGAAUUGAAGAAAACAGCACACACAUGACCAAUAGAGAAAACACAGGCUAUGAAAAAAGGAAGAGUGAUUCCCUAAUCAAGCCAUGGGCUUUCAGGGAAAGCCUCCAUGAGGUAGUCAGGUCUGAGAUGGGCUUUAAAAAAAAAAAAGUCAAACAAAUGGAGAAAUGGUGAACAGGUAUCUUCCUGGAACACGGUACAUGUGCAGCCAUGAAGGAUCGAGAAAACCCAAGGCAUAUUUGAGGGCUGCCCAGCCAUGCAGGUGUAGAGUAUGCUUAUGUCUGAGGGGUGGGGCUUAGGCCCAGGCAGAAGUGAGACCAUAAAAUCAACUAAACAUGCAUUAAAGAUUGAAACCUAAGACCUGGAGCCAUAAAAUGCCUAAAAGAAAACAUGAAGGGGAAAAGCUUCAUGACCUUGGACUUGGCAAUAAUUUUUUGGACGUGACAUCAAAAGCGCAAGCAACAAAAGCAAAAUCAAACAAGUGAGACUGAACUAAAAUCUUCUGCACAGCGAAAGAAACAAUCAACAGAGUAAAAAGGCAACAUACAGAAUGGGAGAAAAUAUUUGCAAACCAAAGAUCUGACAAGGUAUUUAUAUCUAAGAUAUGUAAGAAACUCAAACAACUCAAUAGCAAAAUAAAUAAAUAAAUAACGAUUUAAAAAUGGGCAAAGGACUUGAGUAGACAUUUCUCCAAAGAUGACAUACAAAUGGCCAAUAGGUAUAUGAAAACAUGCUCACUAUCAUUAAUCAUCAGAGAAUGCAAUCAAAAGUACAAUAAAAUAUCAACUAUUAGAAUGUCUAUUAUCAGAAAAAAGAUAAAUGUUGGCAAGAAUAUAGAGAAAUUGGAACCCUUGUACACUGUUGGGAAUGUAAAAAUGGUGCAGUUGCUGUGGAAAAUAGUGUGAAGUUCCCUCAAAAAAUUAAACAUGGAAUUACUAUGUGGCCUAGCCCUCUCACUUCUAGGUAUAUAUCCAAAAGAAUUAAAAUUAAG
rnacentral:lncRNA from 1 species